AACGCACAUUGCGCCCAUCAGUAUUCUGAUGGGCAUGCCUGUCCGAGCGUCAUUUCAACCCUCAAGCCCCCGGGCUUGGUGUUGGGGAUCGGCCCGCCCCUCGCGGCGCGCCGGCCCUGAAAUCUAGUGGCGGUCUCGCUGUAGCCUCCUCUGCGUAGUAGCAACACCUCGCACCGGAACGCAGCGCGGCCACGCCGUUAAACCCCCCACUUCUGAAGGUUGACCUCGGAUCAGGUAGGAAUACCCGCUGAACUUAA
rnacentral:misc_RNA from 1 species